rnacentral:lncRNA from 1 species
CCUGGGUCCAGGAUUUCCCCUCCCUGGAGGUCUUCAUGCAAAAGCUGGUUGCUUGCGCAGGACUUCAGAUUCUUAGUCCAGUACAGGUUGGCUCAGAUGGCCUCUGAGGGUCCCAUGGUGCUGAUAUCUUUGACCUUGCUGGUACAGGUACUGUCCCUCCCGGUCAUUGAGCCCAACCCUUCUACGACAGGCAGUCUUGAGAGUAUGCAUGGCUGGAAAGUUACCAUCAUUCCGAAGAAGAGCUCCUCUGCCCUUCACUGGCAGGCCCUCCAAUAACGGAAAGAAUCUAUCCCUGGGUCUGCGUCCUCAGUGGCAGGGCCACCGAGAACCCAGCAGCACCUGCAUCCCACAAGAGGGAAGACUCCAGCAUAGCCUUUUAGAAUCUGCCCUCCUGACUGAACACAAAGCCCAGCCCACUCCCACCAUCAUCCAAGCCACUAUGGAGCCUACUCCAUUAACGGAAAGUGAAGUUGGAGCAAGGAGGUCACUGUGUAGAAGAUAUUACCAAGGAGAGAAACGGAACAGGGAGAGGAUAGAUAGGAGACUGGUCUUCAGGCCAGAGCUUGGAAUAGCAAUGGGGCCGGAGAAGCGAAUGAAGGCGGAUUUCUGCAGCAGGGGCCGAUGAGGCCGGAUCCUUGUGGCCUGAGGGUG